GGACUUUAGCCUUCAAAGCGGGUGAUGCAAGGCAGAAGAAGGCGCAUGUGGAGCGGCUUUGGAGGGCUGGCUUCCUUAGCUAACUCACUUGCAUUUAAGGGCACUUAGUUGUCAACGCCGUGGCAGAAUUCGGGUUACUAUGAGCAUCAGGCCUCCCAUAAU